GAGAAUGCUGGCAUGAGUAGCGAGAGACGAGAGAGUAACUCGUCCGCCGUAAACCCGAGGUUUCCUGGGCGAGGCUAAUCCUCCCAGGGUCAGUCGGGGGCUAAGCCGAGGGCGGAUGCCGUAGGCGAAGCGCAGCAGGUGGACAUUCCUGCACCGGAGAUGCACCGUCACGACCGACGGGGCGACGGAUUGGGGUGGCUCGGCGGGGUUCUGGACGUCCCCGUGAUGGAGCGCGGCCCGGGUACCAGGCAAAUCCGGUACCCACUGAGGGCGAGGCUCCGGACGAAGCGAGAGAGCGAAGCGAGUGAGCCCGUGGUCCCCAGAAAAACCCCUAGGCAGGGGCAUCUCCGCCCGUACCGCAAACCGACACAGGUGGGUGGGUAGAACAUACCGAGGCGAUCGGGUCAACCAUGGUCAAGGAACUCGGCAAAAUGGCCCCGUAACUUCGGGAGAAGGGGCGCCGGCGCGUACGUGGAGGGACUCGCUCCCCGAGCGGAGGCCGGCCGCAGUGAAGAGGCCCAAUCGACUGUUUACCAAAAACACAGGACUCUGCAGAAGGCGAGAGCCGACGUAUAGGGUCUGACGCCUGCCCGGUGCCGGAAGGUCACGCGGAGGGGUUAGCCAAAAGCGAAGCCCCGAAGCCAAGCCCCGGUAAACGGCGGCCGUAACUAUAACGGUCCUAAGGUAGCGAAAUUCCUUGUCGGGUAAGUUCCGACCUGCACGAAAGGCGCAACGAAUUGGGCGCUGUCUCGACCAUGGACCCGGUGAAAUUCCACUAGUCGUGAAGAUGCGACUUACCCGCGGAAGGACGGAAAGACCCCGUGAACCUUCACUGCAGCUUGGCAUUGGCCGCUGGCCCGUCGCGUAGAGGAUAGGCGGGAGGCUUCGAAGCCCGGGCGCCAGCCCGGGUGGAGCCGACCUUGGAAUACCGCCCUCGGCGCGCCGGCGUCCUAACCCCGGGCCGUGAUCCGGCCGGGGGACCGUGCCAGGUGGGUAGUUUGACUGGGGCGGUCGCCUCCUAAAGGGUAACGGAGGCGCGCGAAGGUCCGCUCGGGACGGUCGGCAACCGUCCUCAAAGAGUGCAAGAGCGUAAGCGGGCUUGACUGCGAGGCAGACACGCCGAGCAGGUGCGAAAGCAGGCUCUAGUGAUCCGGCGGCCCCGCGUGGGUGGGCCGUCGCUCAACGGAUAAAAGGUACUCCGGGGAUAACAGGCUGAUCUUGCCCAAGAGUCCACAUCGACGGCAAGGUUUGGCACCUCGAUGUCGGCUCAUCGCAUCCUGGGGCUGGAGCAGGUCCCAAGGGUACGGCUGUUCGCCGUUUAAAGCGGUACGCGAGCUGGGUUCAGAACGUCGUGAGACAGUUCGGUCCCUAUCCUCCGCGGGCGCAGGAGAAUCGAGGGAGGCUGCCCCUAGUACGAGAGGACCGGGGUGGACGCACCUCCCGUGAACCAGUUGUCGACCAACGGCACGGCUGGGUAGCGGCGUGCGGCGCGGAUAACCGCUGAAGGCAUCUAAGCGGGAAGCCGUUCCCGAGAUCAGUUCUCCUUUUCGGUAAGGGCCCAGGUAGACUACCUGGUCGAUAGGCCGCAGGUGCAAGGGGCGCGAGCCCCUCAGCCGAGCGGUACUAAUAGCCCGAGCUCUUACCC
rnacentral:rRNA from 1 species